AUGGGACAAAAAAUACAUCCGCUUGGUUUCAGACUUGGUACAACUCAAAGUCAUGAUUCUAUUUGGUUUGCACAACCAAGAAUUUAUUCCGAGAAUGUAAAAGAAGAUAAAAUAAUACGAGAUUGUAUCAAGAAUUAUAUACAAAAAAUACAAAAAACAACAACCGCUGUCGAUGGCGAGGGAAUUGGACGAAUAAAGAUUAAAAAAACACGCGAUCUGAUUCACGUGAUAAUCAAUAUGGGACUUCCAAACCCAAACUUAGAAUUCCAAAUGUUUAUAGAGACCCGAAUAUUCUUGCAGAAUUUCUAGCCAGACAAUUAAAGAAUAGAAUUCCGUUUCGUAAAGCAAUGCAAAAAACUAUAAAAAAAUUCGCUGAAGAGGCAGGUGCAGGUACAAAAGGAGUUCAAAUACAAAUUGCGGGACGCAUCGACGGAAACGAAAUUGCACGUGUCGAAUGGAUCAGAGAAGGUAGGAUUCCUCUACAAACCAUUCGAGCUAAAAUUGAUUAUUGUUCCUAUCCAGUUCGAACUAUUUAUGGGGUCUUAGGAAUCAAAGUUUGGAUAUUUAUAAACAACGACUAA